rnacentral:lncRNA from 1 species
GGCGGGGCGGCGGGGUGACGGGGCACGAGGCCGGGAUUCCACCGCAGGACUCCGAAGAGGUGCGCCUAUGCUUGGCUGGGGCUGAGGUCACCAAGAGUCCUCUCGGAGGGACGUUACUACACGCGCUGGCGAGGCCCAGGAGUCGUGGUGCGAGGGGUACUAUCUGUGAAACGAGGGCUGCCUGUCCCAGCAGCCAGCUUUGUACAGAGACGUCCCGGAGCCACGAGAGAGUAACGGCUAACCCGGGGGAGGGGGUGGCGAGGGUGAUUCCAGGCACUUUGUGAAGAAACGAGCUAUGGCGAGGGAAGAAUCCACUUUGAAGAGCGGCCCCCGCCCUGCCCGAUACGUUACUUCCGGGGCGGGGCGGGCAGAGGGGCCCGGAUGUGCCGCCGCUUUUUAGUUUCUGAGGCGCCGGCGGUGUUCCUGGUAGCGUCAGCCUCCUGGCUUUUCCUUUUCCUGGACGCUUCAGGGCUCCGCGGCCUGCGCUAGACUGGAGGGUCCGCGUCACUCUCGCCCUCCUGCUUUCCGCGCUCUCACCCGCUCCCGCCUCCUGAGGGCACGACUUGUGGAGGAGCGCGGGCGGCGGGGCGUGAGCGAGCUGCCUCUGCCGCCAUCUUAGAGAAGGCGAGCGUGGGGUGUGCGUGGGCGCGAGUCGGCCUCCCGCGGUGCCGCCGCAGCGUGGCGCGGAGAGGCAGGGGCAUCCAGUGGUUCAAGGUUACAAUAAGCUGUGAUCGUGCCACUGCAUUCUACCUGGGAUGACAGAGUGGGACCCUGUGCCACAGAGUGAGACCCUGUCUCAAAAAAAAAAAAACUAUGUAAAUCCAAGAAAAAAAGAAAACAGCUCCUGUUGCCUUUUGCCUCUCAUCCAGAAAGGUAUCCAUUUGCCUUUCUAAUAUCUCUUCAUCCUGUCAGGCCACAAAUGGAGACGACUCACCUGUAUUGUACCUCUCCAAGUUCUGGAAAGUCGAUGGAGGGUUUACUCAGGGCCAAGACCCAGCUUUACACAGAAGUUGAGAAGAAAGCCCCCUAACCCAGUGACAGAACUUUUUGUCUGUAAACCCUAUCUGCAAAGUGGAUUUUAUAAGGCUAACAUGGUAUUUUGGACCAAUCCCCUUGCUGAGGACAACCAAAAAGAUUGGAUGAAGUAUAAAAAGCACUUACUUGAAAGCAUCAAAGACGUCCAAGAUAGUGAGGAAGUUUAAAGUCAAGAUCUAGGAAAAGACAAGAAACUAGAGAAAGAAACCCAGCCGUAAAAUCACUUUUUUUCCCCCCUGCGGGCUUCUGCCAAGUCUGGGGAAGCAGCUGCAAAGCUAAACUAUAUUUUUUGAUGAUUCCUCAGAGCCGGACAAACAGAAGUCAGAAACUAAAACCUGCCAGGAAUAGGGAUUCAGGAGUAGGGAUUUAAUAACUCAAGCCCCCUUCGAGCUGAGAAUCUGAAAGGCCACACUCUCAAUAUGAGGAGUAGCUGCUAGGAAACCAGCCCUGGCACAGAAUUGUAGUCAGUUUUGCAUCAUUUAACAGUACAAGUAAACUUCAACUCUGACAUUAUAUUAAGAUAUUUCUGGAAUGAUAACACACACUGCUAUUUGCAGCAGCAAAUGAAUAUCCUCUCAAGAGAAAGACAUCAUCAUAACAGGCCUCAGCACUUCCUCCAUAUGACUUAUAAAAUAUAAUUUCCAUCAUACAAUGAAAAAUAAGGGUUUACAAGGCAACAAGAUCACUGAAUGAGUAACAGAAGACAGAGAAGCUACAAAAAAAGCCUCCAAAACAUGAAUUAUUGAAAUGAUCAGAUAUGGUUCACAAAAUAACGAUGCUUUUUACAUUUAUGAAAUAAAUUCCAAGCUUAAAAACAUCCGUGAAAAGGAAACUCUAAAAUUUAAUGUGACAUAUUAAGAAAAAAAUCCAAAAAUAUAAUACUCAAAAUUAAGAUGGGCUUAAGAGCAAAUGAAAUGUAGCUAACAUUUUUAAAUGGAAGACAAGAAGAAAACAUCCUCCAGAAUGCAGCACACAGAAAUAAAAGGGAAGAAUUGGAAAAGAGUGGAUAAGAGGCAUAAGUGGUCAGUGACAAGUUGUAGCCCAGAAAGUGUGAAGGGAAUGGGACAGAUAUAAAAUUGGAAGAAAUAACAGCUCUGAAUUUUUCAAAAGUAAAAACGAUAUCAAUCUACAACUUUAAGAAUCUCCAUAUAUCCUAAGCAAAAUAAAUUAUAAGAAACUCACACCCAGACAUUGCAGCAAAACUUCAGACAACAAUAGACAGAGACAAAAAUCUUAAAGCAUCAGAAAAGAAGCAGUUACUUUCAAAGGAAGAACAGUUAGACUGAGAACUGACUUCUCAAUAGUAACAAAGGAAGCCAGCGAGCAAUGGAAGGGUUUUCAAUUAACACUGAAGUUUGAUAAGGCAAAAAACAAAAACAAAAACAAAAAAACAUGUUGUUACUUGUAGUUAAAUUACUUUAAAAAAUUGAAAAAUUACAACUGUGAAGAUAGUACAGACAAAAAUUGGAAUGAUAAAAAAAUCCAAAUAGAACAGUUGGGAUAAGUAGCACAAAAUAAGAUGAUAAAUUUAACUCAAAUAUAUCAGUAAUUACAUUGAAUAUAAAAGGAUCAAAAACUCAAUUUGAAAGCAAAAUGUGCAAAUUCGAUUGAAAACAAAAGAAAAUGCAAUUAUGUACUGUUUAUAAAAACUUAUCUAAAAUAUAAGGAUAUAGAAAAUUUGAGAGUAAAAAGAAAAAAGAAUCCUUUAGACACCAACCCAAAGAAAUCAGCUAUAGCUAUACUAAUAUACCGUUUUUAUAUAAUAAAUACAGUAUAAUAAACUCUAUAGAUAAAUACAUCUCUACAUAAUGAUAAAAUGUCCUAUUUACCAUGAGGAUUUAAAAUUUGCACACAACUAAUAACAAGGCCUCAAAAUAUGUGAGGGAAACAUUGACAUAAUUAAAUGAAAAAUAAAUCCACAAUCAUAGUGAGACAUUUUUAUUAUGACUCAGUAACUUACAGAAAAAUAAAACAAAAAAGAAGGAACAUACAAGAUUUAAAUAACGUGAUUAACAAAAUUGACCUAAUAGACACAGCUGCAGAAAACUUAUUCUUUUCAAGCAUGCACAGUCACAAAAUUCUCAGUAGAAUAUGUUUUCUAAUCCAAUGAAGUUAUACUAGAUAUUAAUAAAAAUUAAUUUGGAAAUGAAGAAAUAUACUUCUAAAUAACUAAUGGGUAAAAGAAGAAAUCACAAUGGAGAUUAGAAAUAAUUUGAACUAAAUAGUGAUAAAAAUACACCAAAUCAAAGCUUGUGGACAGCAGCUAAUGCAGUACUGUACUUAAUUAUGUUAGAGAAGAAGAAAGGCAAAAAAAUCAAUGAUCUAAGCAUCCUUGUAAAGAUAUUAUUAAAGAACAGCAAACCAACCCCAGAUAAAUAAGAAAUAAAAAUGAAUAAUGAUUUGGGCAGACGUUAAAAAAAUAAAAUAAACAUACAAUAGAGAGGAUCAGCAAAGCCAAAAGUUAGUUCCUUGGAAAAGUUGAUAGAACAAAUAAAGCCUUGGCAGAAUUGAUCCAGAAAAGGAGAAAGAAGGCCCAUUAAUCAAUAAGAAGAAUGAAAAAAGGAUAUUGCUACAGAUUCUACAGAUAUUAAGAUGAAAAGAGGAUGCUAUGAGCAAGUUUAUGUCAACAAAUUUAAACAUUUAGAUGAAAUGGAGAAAUUCUUAGGCAAAUUAUUUAAGAAAUGGAGACUGUUAAUAGGCCCAUAAAACUGACACAAUGAUUAAAAUCCUCUCCACAAAUAGAACUCUAAACCCACCCAGAUGAUUUUAAUGGUAAGUUCUAUCAACUUUAAGGAAGAAAUUAUUACAGGUUUAAAAACUUUAAAAAAUGGGUGCAGUCCUAAAAUCACUUUGUAAUGCUAGCAUAAUCUUGAUAAGAAAUGCUAACAAAUGCAAUAACAGAAGGAAAAGCUACCAGCCAUUUUCAUUCAUGAAUAUAGAUGCAAAAGUUUUAAAUAAAAUAUAAGAAAGCAUUAUGACCAGGUUAUAUCUUCCCGGGAAUAUAAGAUACAAUAUCAUCAAAUUUAACAUUGAUUCAUAAUAAAAAUUUGUUAAAAAAUGAUGCAGAAAGAAAAGAAAUCCUUAUAACAUUCUUAGAAUAAACAGUUGAAAGUGUUUCCUCUAUGAUCAGUAAGAGGGCAAAUGUACUCUCUUUUCAACAUUAUGCUUUUUAACAUAACUUGCUGGUGUAGCAAAGCAAGAAAGAAAAUAAAGGAUUGGAUAAGUGCCCAUCAACUAACGAGUGGGUAAAGAAAAUGUGGUAUAUAUACACCAUGGAAUACUAUUCAGCAAUAAAAAGAAAUGAAAUGUCUUUUGCAGCAACUUGGGUAGAGUUGGAGGCUAUUAUUCUAAGUGAAGUAACUCAGUAACAAAGAUCGCAUGUUCUCACUUAUAAAUGGGAGCUAAGUUAAGAGAACACAAAGACAUAAGAAUGAUGCAAUGGACUUUGAGGCCUUGGAGGGGAAGGUUGGGAAAGGGGUGAAGGAUUAAAAAAACUACAUAUUGGGUAACUGGAGAAGUAUCCUAUGAACAUAUAUAUUGGAAACUGAAAAUGUAAUUAUUCAAAUUAUAAUUCUUUCAAAAUUUAUAUAUAGAUUCAAUGGAAUCUCAAUGAAAAUCUCAACAGAUUGGUUAAUGGAACUAGAUAAGCUGAUUCUAAAAUUUUAUUUUUAAAUAUAAAAGGCUAAAAAUAGCCAAGAUUUUCUUAAAGAUGCAUAACAAAGUCGGGAUUCAUUCUAUAUGAUAUCCAAUGAGUAUGGCAUCCAAUGAGUAUAGACAAACAGGGCAGGACAGAGGGAGUGAAUGAACAGACACACAUAUAUUUGGACACUUGAAUGUGGAUAAAAGAGGCAAUGUAGGAAGGAAGGGAAAAGAUAGUCUUUUCAAUAGAAGGAACUGGAUCAAAGAGAUAUUCAAUGGAAAAAAAGAACGAAAUUUUACCUCUUCCUCACAACAUAAGUAAGUUAAUUAUUACAGACGAAUUAUAGACCUAAAUGUGAAAGGCAAGACAACAUCGUUUCCAGAUGAUAAUAUAGGAGAUGUCCUCAUGACUUUGCAUUAGUGGAAAUGUUAUAAACCUACACCCAGAUGCCUGUGCUGAUACUGACAUGACUUUAAUAGUGUGGGAAUUUGCCCAGUCUGCACUCAAUGCCUGUCUCAUCCAACCAUCUUUAAUAAGUCAUCACCAUGUGGCUACCCUUUAAGGAGCAACUAGAACCACUAAGACCAAAAGAGAAUCCUGACGUCUGGUGAGGUGAAGGAGGAGGGCCCUAGUACCUUUAUUUGUGGGUAGAACUGGGCUUCUGUGGCCUGAAAAUCUAAGGACCAAACACCAACUUUACAAUAAAGAACCUGAACUCUGAUAGAAGGGAGACAAUGGUUACUUCUUUUCAUGGAUUCUAAAUUCUAUCUGCCAGUCACUUUUUGUGUGUGCAUUCAUUGAGGGUGUACAGAAUGGAAUUACAGAGGCAGAAAAAAAUGAGGUCUCUGCCAAAUUGAUAGUUUAAAAAACAUUUUAGUGGCCUACUUAACUGUAAUUUGUUUUAGUUUUAAACAAGAAAAACCUCAGCAUGUAAGCAAAGCAGACUGGACUUGAACAGAUAUGGAAUGCAAAGCACACAGGAGAGUCAUGGGGAUCCUGAAGGGGGAUUAGAAGUUGGACAACUUUUUAUGCAAUGAACAACACUGCAUUGGAGGCAGUGGAUUAAACAGUAGUGCAUAUCACUUGGCUGAAGUGACAGGAAUAAAGAACAGAAUGCAUCCACUCCUCCAGUCUCAUUAAGCUGCCUCUUUCUCCUGAAAUUGGAUUGGGAUUCCAGGACACCUCUCAACCUACAGGAAACACUGGAUCUAAAGCUGAAACAGGCUUUUAAAAAGAUUUGCACAAUACAUCCUUCAUAUUGUUAUUUUUAUCUCUGUAAGUUUGUAAUGGCCUCUAAAAAAGAAAGCUGUGUAACAAGAGCAUCAGAUGUUACUUUGCUCACUGUUGAAGGCGGUGAAGAACAGAAGAAAACUAGGAAGAAAACCAAGCUGGGAAGGGCAAUGAAGGAACAGGUUAGAGUUCAAAAGUAAAAGUACGUUCCACACAAAGGAAAGAUUUCAGGUACGUGAGUCAGCGGCAAUGCAAGGGCAAGAGAUGUGCUUUUAGAGAGAAUUGAACUUGUCAAUGUGACUCAGCUCUGGAAGACCAAAAAAUUAUGGAGGGAGAGGCAGGAGAGGGAAACCAGGUGAAAUGUCACCAUUUUCUUUGUUUAUCUUCUGGUGGAUCUCAAAAUCUUCUGUUAUUCACAUACACACACGAGCAUGCACUCAUGGAAUGCGUCAGUAUAUCUAUUGUCAAAAUCAGCUCACAGUCUCAUUUCAGUAAAACAGAAAUGUGAUCCCUCACAAGAUGUUGUGUUGCUGAUUAACUGCCUUCUUCUAGGAGAUGAGCUACAGUGUCAUUUUCAGUCCUAGAGAUCAUAAGAAAAAGAAGAAAGGCUCUUGGGGAUCUGAAAUGAAUUAGAUUUGAUUUUACAGUUACUGUAAAACUCCAGAAAAUUUACAUUUGUUUUACUUACACCAUAUAUUUUUUCCAAAAGUUAAUCUCUAUGGACUGCAGACAAACAUGUUAAGUUAAAAUAACAAAUAACUCUUCUAGAGUAGAAAAUGGGUAAAUUUUAGACACAGACAUGUGCACUAAGAUGUCUGCACAAUGAUUAAAGUUUAGUUGUGAAUUUGCCUUUGAGAUUCCCAUUGGCCAAAGUGAAGAGAAAAGCAUGAUCAGAAUCAAGACUCAAAGUGCCUAGAAGGAAGCAUUUGUCAGGUACGCUGGAAAAAAACAAUAUUUCCAAGAAUUGAGAUGGAAGAAAUUUCUCCAAGGAGAGGAUAUUUUAAUAUAAUAGACAAUGGCCUCAACAAUAUCCCUGCAAUAUGAAACAGUAGGUUUCACAUAGCCACUUUUAAAUAUUUUUCAUCAAGUGAAGUGAAGGGCAUAAUGCUGGCACACAACUGAGAAACAGCUAUUAAAUGAGGGGGAAAAGUUCUGAAGACCAAAUAUUCUGCUCUUGGAUUACCUUGGUGAUCAGAAAGUGACUCUAUGUGGACAGGACUAUGUAGCUAGCAUACCUGUUUUAGAGAACACUUGUGCCCCAUCCCAUUGCAUGGCAAAAUCAAGAGAUUUGAUGAGGCUGUACCCUAUAACCAUUUCAGAUCCUCAACUUUAUGACAAAGAAACAUCACCUCAUCCUCAUUCACUCAGAUGAAAAAAGAUCUUGGUGAUAGUAAAAAUGAUAUAUCUGAGGAACCAUUAUAAAAAUUACAUUGCACAGGCUUAUGUGAAAUAUGCAAAAGCUUUGAAAAAUAAGUGCCUAGAAUAAUCCCCCAUAAAACUUUUAGAUAGAUUAUUAUGACCCUAUUCUUCUGGUACAAACAUAAAUGUGUUUCUGAUAAAUGUAUUUUAUUAUGUUUUGCUUCAUAUGAACACCCUAUUAUAAAUUCAGGAUGGUUAAAAGCAAACUUUAAGACCUCUCUCUUCCUCUGGCAGUCAGGACAAGGUUUUUUAAACCAAAAACAUAUGUUUAAAUUUAGCUCCACAUGUGCCAGCUAGCUAUUGACUGAACACUGACAUGUGUUUGAGCUCUAGGGAUCUCAAAUCUCUCUCUGCUUCUCUCCUCAGUUCUCUUACACCACACAUCUCUCUCUCUCUUUCUCUCUCACACACACGCACUCUCUCACACAUACACACACGCACUCUCUCUCUCUCUCACACACACACACACAUGCAUACACACACACCACAUAUUGGGAAUUCAGAAAUUUAGCAGGUAAUAGACCUAGUAUUCAGAGCAAACACUGUCCCUGAUGAAAAAAACAGUAUGGAACGAUUCUUGGCAAAUUCUGAAUACCCCUUGAGCUUGUCUUGUUCAUUAGCAAAUUGUUUUCCUGUAACUGUUUCUCAGUUAUGUACAUGACAUACCAAAAAUAGUGAUUUUCUCAAUCAGUUGCUUCCUAGGUAAGUAAACAUUCCACUGGUGGAGUACUGUUAGCAAAUUACAGUGGAAAUACAGCUUCGAAAACAGUCUAGUUUUGUUUCUCUUGGUUACUAAAUCCUGGGUCAGGUGGCCUUGGUAAGGUGCUUUGCAGGCCGCAAUGACGGGGAGCAAUUUGACCCAGGGCCCCAGGUGGGACCUUCUAAAAUUCAACCCCACACCUGUGAGUUGUGCCUGGCCAUGCUUCCCAGGAUGAUUCCAGCCAUUGGCUUCAUGGGGCAGGCAUACUGAGGCAGGCUCAUUCCUGGAGACACAGGACUCCCUGGCAGCCUUGCUACCUCAGAUGCUUCUACUCAACCUGUCCUUUUUCUUUCCCCUAUACUCAGUGCCAGACUUGCAUACGGUCUCCCAUUUUCUCUCACACAGACGGUUCUGCCAAUAAAACCGUUGCUUGUUUACCUCUGUCCUAGCAGCUAUGUCCUGAAGGACCAAGACUGACAUAAUACACUCUGUUUAGUUUUAAAGGUAAAUUGUUUACCUACACUUAAGGAAGUACAUCUCCACACACUCAAAGAAUGUGGCUCUAAAUUAGUCUCCUGCUGAAAAUGCCUAACAUUGCCACUCAGAUUUGGACUCUAGAUUGUGACAGAUUAAAAUUCCUUAUAAAUGACUUUUUUUCAAAAUAAAUUCCUAAUUCAUUCUCUUCUCCAAGAAGCCACAGUGCUUCCUCUAAUCCUAAAGUCAUCAGUAGACAAUCCAUCCUUCCCAAUAAUGCUGAGAUUUUGUUUUCUAGAACCCUGCACUCAGAUAAAUUAUACCUAUAAAUUGUACCAAUUAGAAUACAUUUUGUGGCCUAAACCUCAACCUUUCAUUUGAUUGGCAAUACUGGCAAUAUAUAGCCUUAUCUUGUCACCUAAGUGAGAGAUCCAUUCUGAACUAAUGUGGACAUGUCAGUAUAAGUUGAAGACCACUCAAGGAAAUGCAGCCUUUUUGGGUUCUCUGAAGUAAGUAGUAGCCAAACUCUUUUCUCUCUCCUAAUUAGGAACCACCUAAAAACAGACAACUGAGUCAGAUAGAGGCCAAAAGAUCAGCUUUUACAUAUUCACUAGACCUUGCAUCUAGGCCAUGGGUAACUAUUUGCCCAUCCAACCCAAAGUAGUGCAAACAGAAGACCUCUGGCCUAGAGCUCUAGGCCAGAGCAUGGCAGAGAAUGGUUUAUGCAUGGAGAGAAUGCUGUAUGUGGCCAAUGGGCAAAUUCCAGAGAAAAGGGCAAGUACCAUCUGAGAACAGACCGGCUUAAAAACAAAAGCACAGAAGAGGUUUCGUUUGUUCUUGACCUCACAACUGAGAUGUUAGUAUUCCUUUAUUGGGAAGCGAGAGAGAGAGACAGAACGAUGCUUCUUAAUUCUUUUAAAACCACAGCAAUUUUAUUUUGUGGGCCAUGGUGAAAAGUCAGAGAGAGGCAAAUAGCUUGUGCUACAAAACCCCAAGCCCUGAUCUGCCCAUGGGGAAGUCAGUGGCAUUAACCUUUCAUGUAAAGGACAGAACGUCACCAGGCCACCUUAGCCAUGGGGACAGUCAGGAUAGUCAUUGCACAGAAAACAAAGUGAACUCUUCUUUCCUUCAUUUUAUUACUAUUCACAUGUUUCAGAACAAUUCAUUCAAGAUUCACAUAAAGUUAGCUAUGGGCUUUUCUAAAUAGAGCUCUUACAUCUUAAAAAUAAAUCCAAGGCUUUUAAAACUCUGUAAUUAUCUUGUCUAUUAUCUCAUCUGCUGCUUCAUCUUUCAUUCCCUCCCUUGAUCUUUUUUAUCUGUAUGGGG